AUGCAAGUCGAACGAGAAUCACUGGAAGGAGUUUUCGGACAACGGAAGGUGAGGACAGUGGCGGACGGGUGAGUAACGCGUGAGGAACCUGCCUUUCAGAGGGGGACAACAGUUGGAAACGACUGCUAAUACCGCAUGACACAUAGAGAUCGCAUGGUUUUUAUGUCAAAGAUUUAUCGCUGAAAGAUGGCCUCGCGUCUGAUUAGCUAGUUGGUGAGGUAACGGCCCACCAAGGCGACGAUCAGUAGCCGGACUGAGAGGUUGACCGGCCACAUUGGGACUGAGAUACGGCCCAGACUCCUACGGGAGGCAGCAGUGGGGAAUAUUGGGCAAUGGGCGCAAGCCUGACCCAGCAACGCCGCGUGAAGGAAGAAGGCUUUCGGGUUGUAAACUUCUUUUGUCGGGGACGAGUAGAAGACGGUACCUGGCGAAUAAGCCACGGCUAACUACGUGCCAGCAGCCGCGGUAAUACGUAGGUGGCAAGCGUUGUCCGGAUUUACUGGGUGUAAAGGGCGUGUAGCCGGGAAGGCAAGUCAGAUGUGAAAUCCACGGGCUUAACUCGUGAACUGCAUUUGAAACUACUUUUCUUGAGUACUGGAGAGGCAAUCGGAAUUCCUAGUGUAGCGGUGAAAUGCGUAGAUAUUAGGAGGAACACCAGUGGCGAAGGCGGCUUACUGGACG
rnacentral:rRNA from 1 species